UUAAAACAACUCUGAAAAAUGUUCUGCUGAAACUUUCCAGUUCAGUUUGAAGAUGGACACACAUGCUGUCAAAGCGGAUGACUCAGAUGUAGGGCUUCCUGCAGUGUCACUCUUGAGAACAAAUGUCUUCCCUUUCAUUUCUGAUUGUACACACUGAGGAAGCUGUUGAUUCUUCACACAGGGGAACAGCAAAAGCAUCUUUAUAGCUUGCAUUACUGAAGGAGGAGACAAACUUGAUUUCAUCUGAUUCUUCAUCAUCACUGCAGCAGCACAUCUUGGAGAGAGAAAGG